CCGGAAACUGUUUCCCUAACAUCUCAAUCUUGAAGGAGCUCAGCAGUCUUGGAGAGAGCAUAUCUUGACUUUGGGAAUUUGGGGUCCCCACCCCCAGGCCAUGGACCACUGCUGGUCUGUGACGUGUUAGGACGUGGGCUGCACAAGCAGGAAGUGAGCUGUGGACCAGCCAGCAAAGCUGAACUCCAUGAUCAGCGGAGGCAUUAGAAUCUCAUAGGAGCAUGGACCCUAUUGUGAACUGUGCAUGCAAGGGAUCUCGGUUGCACGCUUCCUGUGAGAAUCUAACUAGUGCCUGAUGAUCUGAGAUGGAACAGUUUCAUCCCAAAACCAUCCCCAGCCACUGUGCCGUCUGUGGAAAAACUGUCUUCCACAAAACCGGUUCCUGGUGCCAAAAAAAGGUUGGUGACUGCUGGUUUAUAGAAUUCACCAGUAAAGCCUUCUAGGCUUGAGCUUUUCAUUGUGGGAAUUCAAUUUCUUUACUUGUUAUAGGUUGAUUCAGAUCUUCUAUUCUUUCUUGAGUCAGUUUCAGUAAUUUGCAUCUUUUUAGGAAUUUGUUCAUUUUAACUAAGCCAUCUAAUAAGUUCUGUAGAGUCUAGAGUUAGUAAUGCUGUUUCCUUUUUAUUCCUGAUUUUGGUAGGGUUUUUUGUUUGUUUGUUUUUUAAGACAGAGUCUCACUCUGUUGCUCACGCUGGAGUGCAGUGGCACGAUCUCGACUCACUGCAACCUCUGCCUCCCAGUUUCAAGUGAUUCUUCUGCCUCAGCCUCCCUAGUAGCUGGGAUUACAGGCAUGAGCCACCAUGAGCAGCCAUCUGAUUUUGGUAGUUUUUAUUCUCUCUUUUCUAUUGCCCACAGUUGCUAAAAGUGCAUCAGUUUUGUUUAUAUUUUCAAAGAACAGAUUGUUGGUUUCAUUGCUUUUCUCUACUGCCUUUUUGUUUUCUAUUUCAUUAAUUUUAGUACUCAUCUUUAAUAUUUCCAUUCUUAGGUUUAAGUGGCUCUUAUUUUUCUGAUUUCUUAAGAGGGAAGAUUAACUUAUUGAAUUGAAACCAUUCUUUUUAACAUGGGCAUUUAAAGCUAUACAUUGCCUUCUAAACAUUGCUCUGCUGUAUCCUAUACAUUUUGCUAUGCUUUAUUUUUAUUUUCAUUUAAUUUAAAAUAUUUUCUAAUUUUCUUUGUGCUUUAUUUCUUGACUCAUAGGUUAUUUAGCCAUUUACUGUUUAAUUUGCAAAUAUUUUUGUAUGUCUCAACCUUCUUUCUG
rnacentral:lncRNA from 10 species